CUUGGUGUGGUCCUCUUUGGAUUCCUCUUGUUUGCAGUUCUUUGGGCUUCCUGAACUUCAGCUUCUUGCUCCUGGGCUACCACCCUGUACAGCAAGCAUGUCAAACUCACGGCCCACAACGAAUAUUUUUGCGGCCCAGCCAAUAUAACGGCGCACCAUUUCUCUCCACUAAUACCAGCCUCGAAUAUUUUAGCAGCCGAUUGCCGCG